rnacentral:rRNA from 1 species
AACGUAGGUGGCAAGCGUUAUCCGGAAUUACUGGGCGUAAAGGGUGUGCAGGCGGGGUGGCAAGGGGUGUAUGAAAUAUCCCAGCUUAACUGGGAGGGGUUAUGCCAGACUGCUACUCUAGAGGACGAGAGAGGGGCGUGGAAUUCCGGGUGUAGUGGUGAAAUGCGUAGAGAUCCGGAGGAACCCCAGAGGCGAAGGCGACGCCCUGGCUCGUACCUGACGCUCAGCCACGAAAGCAUGGGGAGCGAACGGG